rnacentral:rRNA from 1 species
UGAGCAAUCUGCCCCUGACUCUGGGGUAAGCGCUGGAAACGGCGUCUAAUACCGGAUACGAGCUGUGAAGGCAUCUUCAACAGCUGGAAAGAACUUCGGUCAGGGAUGAGCUCGCGGCCUAUCAGCUAGUUGGUGAGGUAAUGGCUCACCAAGGCGUCGACGGGUAGCCGGCCUGAGAGGGUGACCGGCCACACUGGGACUGAGACACGGCCCAGACCUCUACGGGA